AUAUUGGACAAUGGGGGGAACCCUGAUCCAGCGACGCCGCGUGAGUGAAGAAGUAUCUCGGUAUGUAAAGCUCUAUCAGCAGGGAAGAAGAAAUGACGGUACCUGAGUAAGAAGCCCCGGCUAACUACGUGCCAGCAGCCGCGGUAAUACGUAGGGGGCAAGCGUUAUCCGGAAUUACUGGGUGUAAAGGGAGCGUAGACGGUGAUGUAAGUCUGGAGUGAAAACCCGGGGCUCAACCCCGGGAGUGCAUUUGAAACUGUCCAGCUGGAGUGCAGGAGAGGUAAGCGGAAUUCCUAGUGUAGCGGUGAAAUGCAUAGAUAUUAGGAGGAACACCAGUGGCGAAGGCGGCUUACUGGACUGUAACUGACACUGAGGCUCGAAAGCGUGGGGAGCAAACAGG
rnacentral:rRNA from 1 species